rnacentral:rRNA from 1 species
GCGACCCCAGGAUGGGCGGGAUGACCCGCUGAGUUUAAGCAUAUCAAUAAGCGGAGGA